rnacentral:lncRNA from 1 species
GAGGAGAAAGCCGACAUUCUUCCAGCAUUAAAGUUGAGCUAUCACCAUCUUCCACCUCAUCUGAAACGAUGUUUUGCUUAUUGUGCAAUUUUUCCAAAAGAUUACGAAUUCGAUGAGGAUGAGUUGGUUCUACAGUGGAUGGCAGAGGGAUUUCUACAGCACGCGCAGGAAAUGAAGCAAAUGAAACGCUGGGGUCAUCGAUAUUUCCAUGAUUUAGUAUUGAGAUCCUUUUUUCAACAAUCUACUGGCAAUAAAUCCCGAUAUGUGAUGCAUGACCUACUCAAUGAUCUAGCUAAAUCUGUAAGUGGAGAAAUAUGCCUCCAUUUGGAUGAUGAUGAGUUGAAGGGCAUAAAAUCACAUGCAAACGUUCGCCAUUCAGCAUUCACUGUGAGUAUGACAAGUACCAAAGAUUUGAAGACUUUUAUGAGAUGAGUAAUCUGCGAACAUUCUUGGCAUUAUCCACAGAUCGAUGGCGAGAGAAUUUUUUAUCUAUUAGAGUGGUGCAUGACCUAGUGCCAAAACUGAAACGUCUAAGGGUGCUAUCACUAGCUCGAUACACGUUUGAAGAGUUGCCAAGUUCAAUUGGCGCCUUAAAGCAUUUACGAUAUCUUGACUUGUCUUAUAACACUGGGCGUAUAAGAUUACCUAAUUCACUGAGUAAUCUUCAAAACUUGCAGACACUGAAGUUAUUUAAGUGUGGGAAUCUUAUUGAGUUGCCCACAAGCAUUGGCGCUUUGAUCAAUUUGGUGCACCUCGAUCUUAAAGAUACGUAUGAUUUGCAGGAGAUGCCAUUGGGGGUAGCAAAUUUGACAAAUCUUCAAACAUUGUCUAAGUUUAUCGUGGGAGAAGGAACUAAUUGCCUUGGAAUUAGAGAGCUAAUGAACCUCCAUCAUCUAGAAGGACCACGUCGUAUUGAAAAGCUACAGAAUGUGGCAAGGAUUGAAGAUGCAAAUCUCGUUGAUUUAAAGAAUAUUGAGAAUCUUGGUGAUUUGGCCUUGGUAUGGACCGAUAAAUUGCGUGAUUCACCAUGCGAAGAGGAUCGUGAAUUCCAGGUUCUCAACUUGCUAGAACCUCAUCAAAAGUUGGAAAGGCUUUCGGUUCGAUUUUAUGGCGGUAAGCAAUUUCCAUUGUGGAUAGGAAAUCCUGCAUUCACAAAUAUGGUGGAUCUAGAGCUUUGGGAUUGGCGGAAUAUUACCUCGCUGCCACCACUAGGUAGACUAUGUAAACUGAAAAAGCUGAGUAUCAGAGACAUGGAUGAACUGCUAGAAGUAAGGCUUGAGCUUUCCCCGUCUCUUGAGAUUCUAAAAAUUGGGAAUAUGUUGAAGUUGAAGCAAUGGGCUCACUCUGGUGACGUCAACGUGGAGGUUACAAGAAAAUUUCCUAGACUACGUGAAAUUAGGAUAAGAAAUUGUCCUAAAUGGGUUGUGACAUUGCCUACCUCCCUUCAUUCCCUUGAGGAAUUGUACAUUGAUGGAUGUCAAGAUAUUAUUCUCGAAAGUGUGCAUGAUCUAUGUUCCCUCCAAACCUUGCACAUUUCGAGUAUUUCAGCACUUGAAAACUUACAUCAAGUGGUUACGCAGUCCUUGGUGGCGCUAGAAUAUCUGUCCAUUGGUAAUUGCAGCCAAUUGAUACACCUGUGGCAGGGUUCAGCUAAUUUAGACAAACUUUCUAGCUUGAAAUCUUUAUGGAUCCAUGAGUGUGAGAAGCUAGUGUCGUUGGUAGGAGGAGAGGAAGGGAAUUUGCCAUGCAAUCUUGAAUAUUUGGGGAUAUGGGAAUGCGAUGGAUUUGAGAUUCUGCCAAAUGGGUUGCAAACCCUCACAUCUCUUAGAGAGCUGGAUAUCAAUCGGUGCCGAAACCUUGUGUCCUUCCCAUCUGCAGGUUUACCUUGUAGUCUUAAAAGUCUCGAAAUCGAAUAUUGUCCUUCUCUGGAGUCCUUGCCGAAGGGCAUUGUGCAUGAUAGUAACGCCAGGAAUGAGAUGUCUCAUCUUGAGGUUGUGCGUGUCAAAAAAUGUCCAUCUCUUACAUCGCUUCCAAUCGGUGAAUUUCCCUAUUCAAUUUAACAAAUUGAUAUUUGCUUUUGGACGACACAACUUUUGGAUUCAUUUCGUAAUAGGUUCUCGCAUCUCACCACAUUAACAAUAUAUGGCUCUGAGUUGGAGUGUUUCCCAGAAAGUGGAUUGGCCAUCCCCAACCUUAGCCUUUUAAUCAUAGAACACUGUGAAAAUUUGAGGUUGCUUCCCAAUCAAAUGCAAAAUCUUACAUCUCUUAAUUAUUUAGAGAUAAAUAAUUGUGGAGGUCUUGUGUCCUUUCCAGAUGAGGUUUUACCCCCAAACCUUACUUCUUUAUACAUACGGAGUUGUGAGAAUUUGAGAUUUCUUCCCACUCAAAUGCAAAAUCUCACAUCUCUUCAAAGUUUAGAAAUAGUUGACUGUUUAGGUCUGGUGUCCUUUCCAGAUGGCGGUUUACCCCCAAAACUAGGUCGUCUUCAAAUUUUAAAUUGCAAGAAUCUGAAACAGCCAAUGUCAGAGUGGAGACUCAAAAGACUCGCCUCUCUCACCCGUCUCACAAUCGCAGGGCCAUGUCCAAAUACAGAUAUGGAUUCCUUCCCAGAUGAGAAGGGCCUACUGCUUCCCUCUUCCCUAACCUUUCUUGGGAUCGAAGAUUUUAAAAAUCUGAAAUCAAUAUCCAGAGGCAUUCACCAUCUCACCUCUCUUGAUGCAUUAGGAAUUCGAAAUUGCCCUAAGCUCCAGUCCUUUCCCAAGGAGGGCCUUCCGACCACACUUGAAAUAUUGAUUAUCGACAGGUGUCCCCUUCUGGAAAGACGAUGCAGAAAAGGGAAAGGAGACUAUUGGCGCUUUAUUGCCAAUAUCCCCCGUUUCACAACUGAAUAGAGAAUAGAGAAUGAAGGGAGUCCUCACAUACAACGAGGUAUUCAUCUUUUUACUUUUGCUUGCAGCUAAAACUAUAACUGAUAUAUGCAAUAUUUUUAAGCCAAAAUAGAAUAGAUAUAAAAAAAUGAAUUGCAUUCAAUUAUGUGGUGUUUCAAGUUUCAACCAUAUUACCCCAUUCUGUUCUGACUCUGAUAUGAGCUGAUUUUAUACAUAUCAAAUCUUGGCUGCAAAUAAUGCAAUUGUUUCUUCAGGUCUGCAAAAGCCUGGACUGCUUAGCCCAGGACUCGAGAUUGUCAUAAUCGUCUCAAAUCCAAUCCCUGCUGGUAAGGGUAAUUGUCAUAAUUUUAUAAAGACUGCUAUUAGUUAAGCUUGCAAAGUUUGGAUGUUUUAUUGAUGUUUUAUUUUCAGAUGUUUUAUUUUCACUUAGCAUUUCUAAUCCUAGGAGGGGUGUAUGGGGGAGGCCUGUUGGUCGGGUUUAGAUGGAUUAGUUAUGUUAAGUUUUUCCUGGAUGAUGUUUGUAAUAAUAAAUUUAAUUUUCAAAAAAAAAAAAAAAAAAAAAAAAAAAAAAAAAGAGAGUACAAUCCUGUUUCUGCUACAUAUGACUACAAUGAGCAGUUGUUACCAAUUUAUCAGACAAGAAUUCUGUUUCCUAUGUUGAGAUACUUAUAUGAGCAUAUUUGUUUAUUUAUUGACAGAUUUAAGGCUCUGGAAGUAUUAUUUAAAGUGAAGAAGUUUUACAGACAUUGGUUGAGAAUUUUUCAGAUGGAAAUUAUCUUUUUUUUUUUUUAUUUUUUUAUUUUUAUAAAUGGAAUAGGGUCCGUUCUUCCUACAAAACAUCCGGUCAAGAGUCAGGUGAUCUCGAACUACUUGCUAUUCAUGCAAACGACAGGUCGUCUGCACCAAGAUGCAAAUGACUUGCAUUUGCGAGUGAAUUUGAGUUUUUAUAAGUAACUAUACUGGCAAUGUGGCUUUAUGGAGCAAAAUCUGAUUCUGAAUGAAAAAAAUUACAUCAAAAGAAUCUAUAUGCUUCAAAAUCUAAUAAUAAUUUAUUUUCUUUUCUUUUGCUUUGUGGAGGGAAAUUUGAACCAUGAUUUAUAGUCAGGUUGUAUAUCCAUUUACCAUCACUCUAUUACGGCUUAUUGCGCAUAAAUUCAAUAAAAUUAAGCCUAAUAAUUUGUCUAUUGUUUAUAACAAAUUAACACAAUAAAAUUCUAAUAAAUAUAAUAAAAUUGAGGUACAUAGAUUAUGAAAUUUUUGGAAGAGGUUUGCCAAGAAGAAAGUGGUGAAUAAGUGAGAGUGCUCUUGCAGGCUGGAAGGCAGGCACUUCAUGUCCAGCCCCUCUCACAGUAGCAAAAGUAAGGUCUCCUUUAUAAAUCUCAGUAUACCCACCAACCUGAAACACAAUCAUUCAUCCACAAAACAUUUAUUUCAAUUUCUUUAUUACAAUUUACAAUUUAUAAAUUAUAUAAUUAAUUAAAUUUUAAUAAAUAAUUAAUUUACCUCCCCAUUAAGGUACCAAGGGUACCAUUCAGUUUUAAUAGGAAGCUUCAACUUUGCGAGUGAGUAUUGAGUAGAAGUAACAGGUACUCUUCCAUCCGUAUCACCACUGCAUGGUAAAAUGUUAAAAUGGUAAAAUGUUUUUAAAAUAACAGUUAUUCAUCAGCUUGUUGAGCGUUUCUUUUUGGUAUCCUAAAUUUAUUUUUAUUUAGGAUAAUUACAUUAAAUACUGCAUUCCUGACUGUUAGUGCUUAGCUCUUCAAUUGUUGAUUGAUUAUAACAAUCUAAGGUCUAUUCGACAAGAUUAGUUAUUUUAGUUUUUCAAAAAAUGCUAAAAGCUAGACGUUCAGUGAGUUAAAUUUUUAUAAAACGCUACUUUAACAUGUAAAAAUUAAUUCAAACGUUAUGUUACCGAAUUCUAAAAAAAUAAUAGCAUUUAGCAUUUUAAUUGAUCAAAACACUAAAAUCUAUUUUAAAAAUUGUUGCCUAAAAGUUUUAAGAUAUAAUCUAUGUUUCAUGGAAAUUAAAACGAAAUAGCGUAGAAACACAGAAACAAAGAAAUGCGAAAAGCUUAUAAUUUGGAGUUUUCAUACUUCAUAAAAUAUAAUAUUAUCUAAUAAAAAAAUGUUUUAAUUAGGUGAUAUAAUAUAUAUAUAUAUUUUUUUUUUCUUAUGAGACUGACCUAUAAACCAAGAUUCUUACUCCAUUUUCCAUGAACUCCUUGAGCAAGGGAAGAAUUGUUGAAGGGCUAUCUGUCCACCUAUCAAUAAUAUCACUACAUGGUUCCCAAUCAUGAUCAAGCUUAGUGACAUUGGCAUGCAAAGCUUCUUGCACAUCAGCCCUAUUGAAAUAAGCAUGCACAUAAUAGUCACUGCAUGGAUCAAAAUUAUCCAGCUGCAAAAUAAAACAAACCAAUUUUAGUUAUAUAUUUAUAAAAUCACCUUUCUGCAUCUAUAAAAAAAUUGUGUUAAUCAACUUACUGAAGCCUUCUUGGGGUGAGCUGUGAUAUUCUCAUCAAAGCACAAAGGAGCAUAAAUGUUAUAAAUGUCAACAGCUUGAGAAUAUUUGUCAGCCUUCUCAGUAGCUGCUCUGCACUCUUUGGAUGGAUGGUUGAUAUACUUAGGUGAGAAAUUACAGUGUUUUUUUAUUUUUUGCAGUGUUUUUGGUGAAGAUAAAACAUGGGUUGUAAAGAAAGUAUACAUUCCUAGAGUAUCUGUUUCAUCAUUUAUCACUGCAUUUCCAAUCUGCAUUUUCACAGAUAUAAACAUACGGUUAGCUUCAAUUUCAAUAAUUUAUAUGCACGGAAACUUCUAGCCAUGAAUGUUUUAUGUUUCGGAAACGUUUCCACUUUUCUAGUAUAAAAUACCGUUUUUCCAAGUAAAAUUAUGUUUUAUAUGUUAGAAAGGCACAUACUGCAAUUCCUUUGAGGUUGAUAAUGGUUUUGUUGGCCUUCUUGUUGUAGUAAAGGAUGGUAUGUGCAAGCUGAGGAACAUAAUGGCCUGCAUAGCUUUCUCCAGAAAUGUAGAAAUCUCUUCCUUUAUAUUCUGGAAAUCUUUGAAGCCAAUUUACCAAAAUCAAAUAAUUUUCUGUUGCUGUAUAUCUAUCGCCAGAAUUCUCAUAAUCUGAUGUCCUGUUUGAGUAUGAAAAGCCUACUCCAACAGGAGACUCCAGAAACGGAACAUUUGCAACUGAAAAAAAAAAAAAGAAAAAUUAAAAANNNNNNNNNNNNNNNNNNNNNNNNNNNNNNNNNNNNNNNNNNNNNNNNNNNNNNNNNNNNNNNNNNNNNNNNNNNNNNNNNNNNNNNNNNNNNNNNNNNNNUUCAUUAUUUUUUAUAAAUAUUAUUAUUAUUACAAACAGAUAGUCCAGUUCUUUAAGUUAUUUCAAAAGUAAAAUAAUUAAGGAAUUACCAUUAUUCCAUGAAAAUCUGUUCUUGUUCUUGUAAAGUGUUUUGCCAUCACUGUAUACUCGAAAUGGUCCAAGCUCUUGCAUCAACCCAUAAGCCAAAGAUGAACAACCAGGCCCUGUAAAAAUAUUAAUCAGCAACAGACAGUAAUAUUAUACAUUUAAAUUGAAAAUUUAACAUAAUAAUAAUAACAAUAAAAAGAAUACUAUUUUCAGGAAAUAAAUAAAUUUAGAACACAAAAGGGAGAAAAAGGGAAAAAGAAUAUAUUAAAUACCUCCAUUUAGCCACAGAAGAAGAGGCAAAGAGUUCUUAGAACUUUCUUGAGCUUCGGCAAAAUAAUAAUAUAAGGCUUUUCCAGCUAACUUAUCCACAGUAACAUAACCUCCAUAUUGUGAAAACUUAACUUGAGGUUGGCCAGGCAAUCUUUUGAUCCUAUCUUUUUCUUUAUCUUUUCCAUUUUCUUGAUUUAUAGUAAUAAUAGAAUCAAUUGUCCUAAAAUUGCUUGUGUCCAUACCAGAAUUCCCAUUAAGCUUGGAUUUGUAAAGAUUCCCAAGAACUUCACUUUGCCUCUUGCUAUGGCUCUGAGAUGUUAAAUAAGAAAAAAUGAAAAAGAAAAGGAAUAUCAAACAUGGGUUUUUCCCCAUUGCAGGAAAAGGUUUUACGGUUUUUAAUUUUUUGGAUUUUUGUUUCUUGAAUCCAAAUUAUGUGUUUAUAUAAGUAUAGGGAUGUGUGUGUGUGCGCGCAAUGGAGAGAGAGUAUCUAUAGAAGGAUUUUGUUUUCUGAUUUCCUAAUUUAGAUCAAUAUUAGUUAUUAUUCCCUCCAUCUUAUAAAAUUAUGCUUGUUUCUAUUUUCUCACAAACUAAUUAAAUGUAAUUAAUAUUUUUGAAUAAUAAAUUUGACCUAUAUUUCUCUUGAUAUACCCCCUAUUGUAAUAUUAGAUAUCAUUUUCUUGAUAUACUCCCAGGUAGUAGAGGGUAAAAGUUUUUAAUUCUCCUCACAAAUUGAGUUUUCAGAGAAUCGAACUUGUAUUAUCGCCUUAUGAAGAUUGAGAUUAUUUACCGAUCCAAUCAACACCUUAAUUAUUGCUAAUUUUAGAAAUCACUUUAAAUAAAAAAUUAAGUGAGAAAAAUUUUAAUAAGAGAAAUAUUAAAUAAGAGUAUAUAGAGAAAACCUAUUUUCCAGAAUGAGUCAUUGUCAAAAUAUACAGCUUUAUUUUCCAUAUAAGACAUUGGACUUUUUAUUUUGCCUCGCUAUGGCUUUGCAUAUCUCGAACCCAUGACCUUCAGGUCACUGAGUCAUUCUUGCAUAUAGGGGUGGCCACGGUUCCGGAACCGGCAGUUCCGGUUCCGGAAAAACUGGAAUCGGAACCGAACCGAAAAGGUCCGGUUCUGGUUCCGGUUCCGGUUUGGAACCGUCCGGUUCCGAUUCCGAUUCGGUGACAAAACCGACGGUUCCGAUCAGUUUUCCGGCGAAUCGCAUAAUUUUAAAUUUUAAAUUUUGAAGACCGGUUUAAAAAAAUAUAUAUUUGAACAUAAAAAAUUAAAAAAUACACCUAAAAAAUUAAAAAAUACUUCAAUUAAAUUUAUUUUUUUAAAGACUUGAACAUAAUUAUUUUUUUAAAAAAAANNNNNNNNNNNNNNNNNNNNNNNNNNNNNNNNNNNNNNNNNNNNNNNNNNNNNNNNNNNNNNNNNNNAAAAAAAAAAGACUUGAACUUAAUUUUUUUUUUAAAAAAAAAUUAAGUUGCCUACGUAUCCUCUUGGGGUUUAGAGGAAUCAAAGCCUACGUAGUUCUUACUUACCUUAUACCAAUUUCACCUCUUAUACCUUAAUUACUAUUUGCACCACCGGUUGAUGUUCCCAUUGAGGACCCAUCGUAUAAAUCAUAUAAAUCUUCAUUUUCUUUUGGAUUUUCUUGGGCUCUUAGUUCGGCCUUGCUCCAAUCAUCCACGCAUGAUUGUGCUUCUAAUGAAUCGGGUGUCAUACGAGAUCGUGUUUCAUCAAGUAUGUUUCCUCCUUGACUAAAAGCUUGUUCAACCGCAACAGUGGAGACCGGAGCUGCUAAAAUUUGUUUUGCAAGUAAAGAAAGAAUUGGAAAAGUAUUUGCGUGAUGACUCCACCAAUCUAAAAUUGGAAAAUCAGUAUCUGCAUAAUCAUCACCAAACUCAAAACAAGUGAUUAGAUAAUUUUCAAAUUCAGAAAAAGAACUGGAUUCCCUUGUUCUUUUUUGUCUUUGUAGUAAAACUUGUUGAGCAACACCAACACCACUUACCCUUUGUGUUGGAAAUUGUUGAAUAUUAGAUUGAGAAGAAGUAGAAGUAGAUGAACUAGAAACUUGAACAAAUUCAUUAUAUAAUUGCAUAAAAAUUUUUUUAACUUCAUUCAUUACUACAUUUAUAUUAACAUUAUUUUCUACAUCAAGAUUUAAUACUUCAUAAUAAAUAGUUAAAUAAUCACAUAAAACAUCAAGUUUACAUGUAGGAUCAAAUACAAUAACAACAAGAUAAAGGGUGGUAUAUUUUUAAAAUAAGAUAACCNNNNNNNNNNNNNNNNNNNNNNNNNNNNNNNNNNNNNNNNNNNNNNNNNNNNNNNNNNNNNNNNNNNNNNNNNNNNNNNNNNNNNNNNNNNNNNNNNNNNNNNNNNNNNNNNNNNNNNNNNNNNNNNNNNNNNNNNNNNNNNNNNNNNNNNNNNNNNNNNNNNNNNNNNNNNNNNNNNNNNNNNNNNNNNNNNNNNNNNNNNNNNNNNNNNNNNNNNNNNNNNNNNNNNNNNNNNNNNNNNNNNNNNNNNNNNNNNNNNNNNNNNNNNNNNNNNNNNNNNNNNNNNNNNNNNNNNNNNNNNNNNNNNNNNNNNNNNNNNNNNNNNNNNNNNNNNNNNNNNNNNNNNNNNNNNNNNNNNNNNNNNNNNNNNNNNNNNNNNNNNNNNNNNNNNNNNNNNNNNNNNNNNNNNNNNNNNNNNNNNNNNNNNNNNNNNNNNNNNNNNNNNNNNNNNNAAAUAUCACAACAAAUUGAAACACGAAUUUUCAUUUGAGAAAAUAAAAGCUCUAACUCUUUUUUUCCUUUAUUAUAUAAAGAAAUAAUAGUUCGUUUUACAGUAUUUCUUGGUACUCUUUUAGCAGAAGGAUUUAAAGCUUUUUGACAAUAAUUAUUAAAACCUACUUUUUCACCAAAACUAAAAGAUAAAUGUUCCAUAGAAAUCAUUUUUGCUAAUUCUUCUUUUUGUAUUUUUUCAGAAUAUUGAAAUAAAGAAAGGUUAGAAGGUGCGUACCCGGAAAUUUGUGUUUGAGACCGAUCAACUCCUAUUUUUGUUGGAUGUUUUGCCUCCAAAUGCUUCCAAAAUGAUCCAUAGCCACCCGCUUGUUUAAAUUUAUAAGAUUUUGCACAAUAAUUGCAAAUUACAUCGUACAUUUUCUCACCUUUGAAUUUUUUCGUGAAAUGAAUGGCGAAUAUGUCGGAAUUUUGCCUUGCUCUUCCAACAAUUUGUGCUCGUUGCUCUUGCUCUUGCUCUUCCUCUUCUUGUAAUUGCUCAUUAAAUUCGGAUUCUUGAGUUGGAAUUUCCAAAUUUUCAUUUGGAUAUCCCUUAAAAUUAAAUUGGUUGGGAGUGAAAUCAUAGAUGUCGUUUGUAGGGAUAGAUAAAUAUCGUGUUUCUCCAAUCUUUCCUUGCCCUUACCCGAAUUUGAGUUUCCUCCACUUGCCAUUAUAUGAUAAUAAGAUAUAAUUUGAAAAUUUUAAUAAAAAAAAUUAGAGAGAAUAAUAACUUAAUAAGAGAGAUUGUAGAGUAGAGAAGAAUAAUAUAGAGUAGAGCGUAGUAGAGUGUAGUAUAUUAUAGAGAGAGUAAGUAGAGAGAGUUGAGAUUUUUUUGUUAUAAAUUUGUAAAUAAAAUGAGGUAUUUAUAAUAAAUUCAAAAAAUUAUUUUUUCAAAAAUACCCUUGAAACUAGCCGUUAUGUAGCCGUUUAUGGCUGUUGGGGGUAAUUAAGAGAUUUCACAACAAAAUUAAAAAAAAAAAAAACUGGUCUGACAGUUUAUAACGGCUAACUCUGCUGUUUGUGGAAGUUGUGGAACAUAAUGCCCUGCAUAGCUCUCUGCAGAAAUGUAGAAAGCUCUAUCUUUGUAUUCAGGAAAUCUCUUCAGCCAAUUUACCAAGAAUAUAUAAUUAUCCUCUGCUGUUUUUUUUGUCUCCAUUGUUAUCAUAAUCCGAUGUCCUAUUAGAGUAUAUUAUGUUGGUGUAUGUGCAAUUAUUGCAUGGAAUAAUAGUUGGUGUAUGUGCAAUAAUUAUCUUUUUUUUUUUUUUUUUUUUUUUUUUUUUUUUUUUAUGAAAACUGCCAGAAAUAAUGAUUAUUAACCGUUUAAAUUUUAAAAACUACUUACCAAUAAUUAUCUACCGUACGUUCGAACACCAAACCAAUAAUUGAUUUCCUAAAUUUAUAUUCACUUACAGCUUAAUUUUUCCAUAUGAGGCACUUGACUCGUUUGGCCAAUGCAUUUACCCCUCUAUUUUAUUUUUUUUUCAAUCAAUAUUAUUUUUAAGAAUCCAAAUCACUUAUUAAUAUUUAGGCUUCGGUUGUUCCUGUAAAAUAACUUUCAAGAAAAUAUUUUUCACAAUUUCCCAUUAUUAGGGCAUUCAGAAAAAUAAAUCAACGGAAAAUAUUUUAAUCAUUUUUAAGGAAAAUGACUUUCCAAUUUCAAGAGAGGAAAAUAAAUUUAUAUAUUCAUAUUUUUUAAUUUAUUAGUCAUUUAUAGCCACUGCCACCCGUCACCGUGUACCACCAACUAUCAUUGCCGGCUACCCUCGGCCACUACCAUCGGCUUUCAUAAUCUACCAUUUUUUACAUUUUCAUCAUAUUUAACAAAAAAAUUUUUAAAAUACGAAAUUUUUAUUGUUGUUAAUAUUUUUAUGAUCUUAUGAGUUAAAGAUUCUAAUAUUUUUAAUUAUUGAAAUUAAAUAAGAAAAAUAAGUCGUUUGAAAAAUAUUAUUUAAUCCAAAGAUAAUUUCCAAAAACAAACGCAUGUAAUUCAAUAUCAAGGAAGAAUAUAAGAAAAGCAAGUGAAAGUUCAUGGUUUUGUCAUUAAGACCCUUUUAAGUGAUUUUUACUCAUUUGCCUUUUCCCAGAGACAAAUAUUAUGUUAUGGAAACUUUAUUUUCCUCUUUAUAUGGUGUUUUUCACUUCAUUACAGCAAUCAUCAAUAAGAUAACGUUUAACAAUUUUGGGAAUAAUAUGGUUAACUAUAGUUACCUAUAUAUAUAUAUUUAUAUUGCUUUUAUAAUCUCUUGAAAAAGGCACCCAUUAAAAUAAUUAAGUGUAUUAUUGACAACUCACUCGAAUAACUCAACAAAAAGACUUUUGGAUUUGGCAGCAAUUAUUUUAGUUUAUUUUUGUAAGUAAUUUUCAGCUUUCUUCUUCGUGCUAUGUGAUUUCUUGCGACUAGAUUAAAGAAUUUGAGCUUGGAUGGUAGUUGUGAUGGAGUUAGGGAUCUUAAAUACUGUUUAUGCGAGAUUAUUCAAAUAAAUUCCCAAAAUUUAUGAUGCCAUUGAUAUUAUAAAUUGAAUUUUUAUGAAGUAUAGUAUAAGAAUGUAACAGUUGAAGAUAUUGACUUGAGAUUGAGCAUGAAUUUCUGUUUGUGAAGAGCCUUGGGAUUCAAAAACACUGUGCUGAAAAUAAUUCGGGAAUUUUGAUAUUAAUCUCUAAUUGAAAUAUAAACUGAGAUUUAAUGUAAAAAUUGUUAGUUUAUAUGAAUUAAUAACCCCUGAGAUGGCAGUAGUUAUAUGAUGUUGUGAGUGAAUUUUGUGAUGGGGAAUGAAUUAAUUAUAUAUGGCGUAUGAGUUUGGUGAAGAAAAACGAUGAUUUCUUGAAAUUAGAGGUAGCUAAGUGAGUAUUUCCCUGAUUAUGGAUUGUAGCAAGUCAAGAUAUUUGGUGCUUUAGUUAGUUUCACAUUGGUUACAAGAUAUUGGAAGUAUUUUCGUUUGGAAUAAGAUUUAAUCAUAAUAUUCUCAUUCUUUGUGACUGAAAGGAAAAAGGAAGACAUAAAAAUAGUUGAAUGUGAAUUGGAACUUGAAAUUUUCAUUUUUAUUUUUAGAAUAGUAGCUUGGUGCAUUUUUAUUUGUUAUUUAUUUAGUUAGAAAAGAGAAUGAAUGUCAUACUUUUAUUAUCAGUACAAUAUGAUGGGAAUAGAAAUGUCUGUUUUUGUUAACUAGGCUAGUUAAAGCUAAUUGUGUAAAUAUGCAUAUAUAUAUAUAUAUAUAUAUAUAUAUAUAUAACGAUUAAUAAAUGAUUUUAUUUAGAAUAUAAAUUAAAUUUUAUAAAGAAGUUGUGAUGGUUGGAUGACGAUGUUGGUAUUAAGAGGAGGUUGGGUAUUUGAUUUGAUUGAAUACCCGAUGGAUGGACUGUGUAUUGAUUGAAAAUAUUUGACGUUAUUAUGAUAUUUAAUCAGGUGGAAACUCCUAUUUUUAGAGGAGGUUUUGCUGAAAUUUCGACAAAAUCUUGAAUAAAUCAUACUUAAUAAAUAGGUUAUUAGAUUUAUUUAGAAUGAUUUCUUAUUCUUAUUAGGAGGAAUUCUUUAUUUAAUUCUUCUCCCCUAUCAAUUCUACUUCAUAUAGAUUAUUCAAGAUUGUCUUAUGCUUUUAAAAAAAAAAAAAAAAAGAACUAUAAUUAGAGUAUUCCCUUUCUUAUUGCCGCGAGUUAUAAUAAAUAGUAUAUUAUCAUUUACAUCGUGUAUACAUACAUUAUUAUAUAAUGUUACAAUUUCUUACUUAUUUAUUUAUUAUUUAUUUAUUUAUUAAUUUAGUUUAUAGCGUAAAUAUCCAUUAUUUUGUACUUGACUUAUAUAUGUGUAUAUUUGAACAUUUGCAUAACAAUGUUUGUUUAUUUAAUGUGCUUGCAUUUGAAUGCAAUGUUUGAUUAGAUGUGUUGUGAUGAUGAUAUGCUUUGUUUGCGUGGAAUUGAGACGAAGUGGGUCACCAUUGGAUUUUUGAGGGCGGUCUACGAUACCGUCAGCCAUAUAUGGGGAGAUCGGCGCAUCCGUGUAAAUCUGAUGAUAUGGAUUAUAUGAAAAACCACAGGGUGAUCUCUUGUUGGUAUAGAAAGAAAAGAGAGUAAAAAAAAAAAAUUAGUGAGCUGGUCAAGUGAGAAUUAAACCAAUCGGCCAUGUAUGGGGAUCAGUCAUGUAUAAGGAUGAGACCAGUCGGCCAUGUGUUAGUGGUUGAGAAUAAAUUACAUGUUCUGUUCAGUUGGUUCUAACUCAUAAUGCAUAAAUUGGAAAAGUUUCUAUAGGUGUUAGAAGUUGAAGAAUCUCACGUUGCAUAUAGAUGACGUGCUACAUUUUCUCUUCGCAGUACUGGAAUACAUUGAUUUUUUUUUUUUUUUUUUUUUUAAUCAUGAGUUCAUUAUAGCUUUUAUUCUUCAUUGUUCCGACACUGACAUGAGCUGAUUUUAUACAUAUCAAAUCUUGGCUGCAAAUAAUGCAAUUAUUUCUUCAGGUCCGCUAAAACCGGGACUGCUUAGGCCAGAACUCGAGAUUGUCAUAAUCGUCUCAAAUCCAAUCCCUGCUGGUAAGUAUAAAACUUUCAUGGAUUAUUUUCGAUGUUUUUGGUUUCUACAAUCUACAACUGUAAUUUUAUAGAGACUGCUAUUAGUUAAGCUUGCAAAGUUUGGUGAGAUACUCCAAAUUUUCUAUUGAUGUUUUAUUUUCAGAUGUUAUUCAUCCAUGUAUUGUCACUUAGCAUUUCUAAUCCUAGGAGGGUCUGUCCUUCAUACAAAACAUCUAGUCAAGAAUUAAAUGAUCUCAAAUAAUUUCCUAUUCAUGCAAAUCGACAGCUCGUCCGCACCGAGAUGCAAAUGACUUACAUUUGCAAGUGGAGUUGAGAUUUUAUAAGUAAUUAUUUGGCAAUGUGGCUUUAUGGAGCAAAAUUUGAUUUUGAAUGAAAAAAUUACAUCGAAAGAAUCUAUAUGUGUCAAAACCUAAUAAUAAUUUAUUUUCUUUUUCUUUUGCAUUGAGCAGGGGGAAUUUGAACCAGGAUUUAUAGUUAGAUUAUAUAUGCAUUUACCAUCACUCUAUUACGGCUUGUUGCGCAUAAAUCUAAUAAAAUUAAGCUAAUAAUUUGGCUAUUAUUUAUAACAAAUGAACACAAUAAAAUUCUAAUAAAAAGAAUAAAAUUGAUGUACAUAGAUUAUGAAAUUUUUGGAAGAGGCUUGCGAAGAAGAAAGUGGUGAAUAAGUGAAAGCUCACUUGCAGGCUGAAAGGCAGGCACUUCAUGUCCAGCCCCUCUCACUGUAACAAAAGUAAAGUCUCCUUUAUAAAUUUCUGUAUACCCACUAACCUGAAACACAAACAUUCAGUUUUAAUAGGAAAAUUUAACUUUGGCGAGUGAGUUGUUACUUCCAUUAAGCUUGGAUUUGUAAAGGUUGUCAAGAAUUUCACUUUGCCUGUUGCUAAUGCUAUGGCUCUGGGAUGUUAAAUAAGAAAAAAUGAAAAAGAAAAGAAAUAGGUUUUUCCCCAUUGCACGAAAAGGUUUUAGGGUUUUUGAUUUUUGUUUCUUGAAUCCAAAUUAUGUGUUUAUAUUAUGUAGACAGGUGUUAUGAGAGAGAAUAUAAUAUAUUUAAUUUUCACAAUUUUGGGGAAUCACUCCUUUUGUGGCCUCAUCAAGGGCCCUUCUUAAAAAUGGUCCCAGCUGUAUUUUUGUCGGUAAAGGAUGAUUUUAAUAUAAUGCUUUGUUGAUAAAGAAGACUUUAGUCCAUUCAUUAAGUGAUAUGCUCUACCCACUUUAGUUAGUGCUUGUCUACUCCAAAAUGUGAACCCCGUAAUGCCCCGUUUGUUGUUUUUCUAUUUUUCAAUUUUGAAAGAAAUACCUAUCGUUUAAAUUUAUUAUUUUUGUUAUUUCAUAUUUUUAAAACAAAAAAAAGAAUUGAGUGUCGAAAUUUAAAAGAAAAUUCACAAAAUUCAUUCUUUGUUUUUUAAUUCAAUUUCUGAAAAAUAAAUUUUAAUUUAGAAAAAUGGAAAUUGAAAACUAACAAGAUAAAAAUUAGAAACUAAAAUUAGGGUAAACACCACUUAAGGAUUCUUUGUUCCAACGGUAGGUUGGCAUCUAAUACCAAAAAGAUAAGGAAACUACUCAAGCAGUUGAUCAUUUUUUUAAUACAUCAAAAAAUCAUUAAAGGUUAUUACACAUCAAUAGGACAAUAAUAAUAAAAUAAAAAGCAAUGGUGCCAAAGAAAUUCGAGGCUUUAUAGGCACUCUUUGUUUUUUUUUUUUUACGUAAUAAUGGUAUUCUUUUCUUGAAGCUCAAGCGGGUCUUUUCAAUGGAGUAGGUGGGGACCUUAGGAAGGAACCAAUUUCUCUUCAUUCACUGAAAAUAGUCAUAAACACUAGAAAUGCCUGUUUAGCUUUUCAGUUUCAAUCACCUGCCAAUUUUGUGUUUGGUAUUACAACUUCCUUCGAGUCUUUGAUACUGCAACUCCACUUUCAAUAACCGAUCAAUUCUUCAAUUGGUCGAAUUUUCUGCUGAAAAUUUUGAUCAUCCUCUCUUUGUGAUGGAAAUUGCAUCUGCUAUUGGAGGUGCUCUUCUAGCACCUGCCUUUGAGUCUUUGUUUAAUAAGUUGGCUUCCAAGGACUUGCUCAAUUAUGCCCGUGAAGGACAUGUGCUGACUGAAAUCAACAAGUGGAAGGAGAUGUUGGAGAGCAUCUGUGGCGUUCUUGAGGAUGCAGAGGAGAAGCAGACGGUGAGCAAGCCGGUGAAGAUGUGGGUAAGACAGUUGAGGAACCUGGCGUAUGAUUUGGAGGACAUUCUUGAUGAGUUUGAUUUUGAGGCUCGUCGAUCCAAGUUGAAAGCUGAACCUGUGGCUGGUUCAAGUAAGGUGCGAAAGCUCUUCCAUAAUAUUCGUGCGGUCAAAUUCAAUAAAGAGAUGAUUUCCAAGAUAAAGGGAAUUAGUUCCCGACUAGAAGAUAUCACCUCACGAAGAAAUCAACUAGAUUUGAAAGAAAGGCCCGGUAGAAAGAGUGAAAGGAUUCCUGCGACGUGCUUGGUGAAUCAAGCCGAGAUUUAUGGGAGGGAGAAAGAUAAGAAGGCGAUUCUUGAACUUUUGAAUUCUGAAUCAAGUGAUAGAAGGGUUGCUCUGAUUUCUAUAGUUGGACUGGGAGGUGUUGGUAAGACAACUCUAGCGCAGCUUAUCUUUAAUGAAGCUGGAGAGAAGUUUGAUUUGACGGCUUGGGUUUCUGUCGGUGAAGAUUUUGACGUGGUUAGACUUACAAAAACAGUUCUUCAGUCGGUCGGUGGAGAUCUUACUUCCAACGAUUUGAAUUCGCAUCAAUUAGACCUGAAGGCAAGGCUGUCAGAGAAGAAGUUUUUUAUGGUUCUAGAUGAUGUUUGGAACGAGAAUUAUGACCAUUGGACAAUCUUUCUUCGCCCCUUUGAGAAUGGGGCAAAAGAAAGUAGAAUUAUCGUCACAACUCGCAAUCUUGCCGUUUCACAGACGAUGGGUGCUAUUCAAAGUUAUACACUUGGAGUGUUGGAGAAUGAUGAUUGCCUGUCUGUGUUUGCCCAUCAUGCUCUUGGAGUAACAAAUUUUGAGGAGCACUUGGAUCUAGAAGCAAUAGGUAAGAAGAUUGUGGAAAGGUGUCAAGGCUUACCUUUGGCAGCUAAAGCUAUUGGAGGUCUCUUACGAGGUCAACCAACUCGCGAUGCAUGGGAACAAGUGCUAAACAGCGGCAUUUGGGAGGAGAAAGGCGACAUUCUUCCAGCAUUAAAGUUGAGCUAUCACCAUCUUCCACCUCAUCUGAAACGAUGUUUUGUUUAUUGUGCAAUUUUUCCACAAGAUUACAAAUUCGAUGAGGAUGAGUUGGUUCUACAGUGGAUGGCUGAGGGAUUUGUACAGCACGCACAGGAAAUGAAGCAAAUGAAACGCUCGGGUCAUCUAUAUUUCCAUGAUUUAUUAUGGAGAUCCUUUUUUCAACAAUCUACUGGCAAU